UCCUGAAAUUUUGAGCCAAAACCUUAUCAAAUUGCUCAAGAUAUAGCUCAAGACACAACCACUAGUAAAUCGGGUCACUUACUACUCUUAGAUUGCAUGCGUUGAAUUCAAAAUCCAAUAACUCCUUCAACCCAACUUGGAAUCCAGCAAGCAGUAUGCAAAAAGUGUAGCCACAAAAGUACUCUCUCUAGUUGCAGUCGCCGAUCCACAAUUGCUAUGUGUACGCGUGCGUUAUGCCAAAAAGAGUGACUGUAGCUCCCAAAUCAACACCUUAACUUUGAGUGCUUGUAUCUCCUUCAUAUAAACUC
rnacentral:lncRNA from 1 species